AGUGAACGCUGGCGGCAGGCCUAACACAUGCAAGUCGAACGGCAGCACGGCAGUAGCAAUACUGUGGGUGGCGAGUGGCGGACGGGUGAGGAAUACAUCGGGAUCUACCCUGUUGUGGGGGAUAACGUAGGGAAACUUACGCUAAUACCGCAUAAGAACUGAGGUUGAAAGCGGCGGACCGCAAGGCGUCGCGCGAUUGGAUGAACCGAUGUCCGAUUAGCUAGUUGGCGGGGUAAAGGCCCACCAAGGCGACGAUCGGUAGCUGGUCUGAGAGGACGACCAGCCACACUGGAACUGAGACACGGUCCAGACUCCUACGGGAGGCAGCAGUGGGGAAUAUUGGACAAUGGGCGCAAGCCUGAUCCAGCCAUGCCGCGUGGGUGAAGAAGG
rnacentral:rRNA from 1 species